UGGCAUCUCAUUCUCGUGCGCUUCCUCUGCAAUUGACUUUGGGUUUGAAGUCAGUUCUUCCACCUUUUCAGGGUCAGCGGCCGUUGACAUUGUACUCUCUUCUUCUUCCUUGGCAGGAACUUCUUCUGCUACAGCUGCUAAAUUCUCCACCUCGGUCGCUUGUGGUUCAUCGUCCAAACUUGGUGCGUUUACUUCCUCCGUUGACUUCUCGCCAAGGUCAACUAUUGUUGUCUGAUCCACACUUUGUUCUGGUGUACUUUGUUCUAGUGUACUAUCUGCUGGUGCUUUCUCAACCUCAUCCGGCGCUGUUUCCACGACUGGAUUCUCAUCAGCUUGUCCCGGCUCUAGGGCCGCUGGUACUUCAUUGUCUUUCGGAGUGGUUUCAAUCUUCUCUGGCUUCUCAACUGGUUCUUGUUCCUCGGCAUUCAGUGGAGUCUCCUCGAGGCUUGGUGGUGUCUCGGUUUUGCC
rnacentral:lncRNA from 1 species